AACAUUGCGUAAACCUAUGGGUUCUUAACCACACACACAAGAAAACAUAACAAAAAAAUAUAUAUAUAUAUUUAGCUGCUAUUCCCCUCCCCCAUACAAAACUACAAAUGGAUCAGUCCAAUUAGGGCUAUGCUAAUGCUAAACCUGUUUGUUUGAAUCAGACGGACUGUUUGAUCGUGCAGCAUGAGACUAAAAUGUCAACAGCCAAAACAAAGUUUUGGGGGAAUUCUUACAAGAAAUAAAAGAGCCCAUCGCAGUGCCAGCCGGCUGGCGCUUCAGGGUGCUGGACGACGCAGGCAGCAGGUGACACGGAUUUCAAUAAAAGGGAUUAUGGAUGUGAGGACUGCAGAGAUGGAGAACACACGCAGGAGCAAAAGUUGAUAUGUCGUCAUACCGCUUUAAGACUGAACUUCACUUCAACACAUUCAUAUUUACCAUCAAACAAUGUCAGAAGGAUGCACGUGGUGGCUGCAUGACUUUGUAAUCCUACUAUUUGAUUUCAUUUUGAGAUUUGUUUUUGUAUUACUCAAUGCAAUACAUUAGUAUGGAAUAAUAAAGAAUAAG